UCCUCGAUGGUCUAGUGGCGAUGAUUCCUGCUUGUUCGCCUCCUUUUGGGGGCAGCCUCCUUAGGCCCCGGGGUCUGAUUGGGUGCAUCCUUUGGGGGUUUGCUUAUACGGGGAGACCAGGGUUCGAAUCCCUGUCGGGGAG